GAUGAACGCUAGCUACAGGCUUAACACAUGCAAGUCGAGGGGAAACGAUAUCGGAAGCUUGCUUCCGGUAGGCGUCGACCGGCGCACGGGUGAGUAACGCGCAUCCAACCUGCCCUUGUCCAUCGGAUAACCCGUCGAAAGGCGGACUAACACGAUAUGCAGUUCUCAGCAGGCAUCUAACGAGAACGAAAUGUGAAGGAGAAGGAUGGGGAUGCGUCUGAUUAGCUUGUUGGUGAGGUAACGGCUCACCAAGGCGACGAUCAGUAGGGGUUCUGAGAGGAAGGUCCCCCACAUUGGAACUGAGACACGGUCCAAACUCCUACGGGAGGCAGCAGUGAGGAAUAUUGGUCAAUGGACGGGAGUCUGAACCAGCCAAGUAGCGUGCAGGAUGACGGCCCUAUGGGUUGUAAACUGCUUUUAUAGGGGGAUAAAGUGUGCCACGUGUGGCAUAUUGCAGGUACCCUAUGAAUAAGGACCGGCUAAUUCCGUGCCAG
rnacentral:rRNA from 1 species